CCUACGGGUGGCUGCAGUGAGGAAUAUUGGUCAAUGGACGAGAGUCUGAACCAGCCAAGUAGCGUGAAGGAUGACUGCCCUAUGGGUUGUAAACUUCUUUUAUAUGGGAAUAAAAUGUUCCACGUGUGGGCUUUUGUAUGUACCCUAUGAAUAAGGAUCGGCUAACUCCGUGCCAGCAGCCGCGGUAAUACGGAGGAUCCGAGCGUUAUCCGGAUUUAUUGGGUUUAAAGGGAGCGUAGGUGGAUUGUUAAGUCAGUUGUGAAAGUUUGCGGCUCAACCGUAAGAUUGCAGUGGAAACUGGAGGGAUGGAGUGCAGGAGAGGUGGGGGGAAUUCGUGGUGUAGCGGUGAAAUGCUUAGAUAUCAGGAGGAACACCGUUGGCGAAGGCGGCUUACUGGACUGUAACUGACGUUGAGGCUCGAAAGGGUGGGUAGCAAACAGGAUUAGAUACCCAGGUAGUC
rnacentral:rRNA from 1 species